rnacentral:rRNA from 1 species
CCUACGGGAGGCAGCAGUGGGGAAUUUUGGACAAUGGGCGCAAGCCUGAUCCAGCCAUGCCGCGUGUGGGAAGAAGGCCUUCGGGUUGUAAACCACUUUUGUCAGGGAAGAAACGGCUUUUUCUAAUACAGAGAGCUAAUGACGGUACCUGAAGAAUAAGCACCGGCUAACUACGUGCCAGCAGCCGCGGUAAUACGUAGGGUGCAAGCGUUAAUCGGAAUUACUGGGCGUAAAGCGUGCGCAGGCGGCUUUGCAAGACAGAUGUGAAAUCCCCGGGCUCAACCUGGGAACUGCAUUUGUGACUGCAUGGCUAGAGUGCGGUAGAGGGGGAUGGAAUUCCGCGUGUAGCAGUGAAAUGCGUAGAUAUGCGGAGGAACACCGAUGGCGAAGGCAAUCCCCUGGACCUGUACUGACGCUCAUGCACGAAAGCGUGGGGAGCAAACAGGAUUAGAUACCCUGGUAGUCCACGCCCUAAACGAUGUCAACUGGUUGUUGGACGGCUUGCUGUUCAGUACGAAGCUAACGCGUGAAGUUGACCGCCUGGGGAGUACGGGCCGCAAGGUUGAAACCGUUAAAUGAAUUGACGG